rnacentral:rRNA from 1 species
UACAGAGGGUGCAAGCGUUGCUCGGAUUUACUGGGCGUAAAGCGUACGCAGACGGUGAGGAAGGUCGGAUGUGAAAGCCCUGGGCUCAACCCAGGAACUGCAUCCGAAACCCCCUCGCUAGAGUAUAGGAGAGGGAAGCGGAAUUCCUGGUGUAGAGGUGAAAUUCGUAGAUAUCAGGAGGAACAUCUGCGGCGAAGGCGGCUUCCUGGCCUGUUACUGACGUUCAGGUACGAAAGCGUGGGUAGCAAACAGG